rnacentral:misc_RNA from 1 species
AUCUCUUCCAAACCCAUAAUUUGAUCUCAAAUGUGAGGUUUGUUGAUCCUGUGUGACGCCCAAAUGAGAUGUCUCAUUAUCUCGUGAGACUCUCCUUCCAAAUUCAACUCGAGAAUAUUCAGAACCCAAAUAUUCCCCACUAUGCUUUGGUGCAUAUAAUAUUCUACUUGAGUUAAGGUCCUCCAUGGCGGCCUGCUUGCCUACAGUAUGGUCCCAUGUGGUGUUAUUUCUUCUGUUUCUGUAAAAAUCCUGCGUUGGAUCAAUGUUUUCUUCAAUGGGGUGCAUAACACUCAUUCUUGACAAUUCUCCAUACUCAAAAUCUGCUCGAGCUACGUCAUGAUCCAACUGAGCACGUGGUGGCAUCAUUCUAUGCAAUUCAUCAGAUGGAUAGACCACAUCUUCAUUCACUAAUCCCUGUGAUUUAGGGUAAAGGUAAUCAUCAUGUUCUUUUCUGUUUGGGCUAUACGCACCAUGCGGAAAACUUGUCAUAAUUCUCUUACCAGUUUCCACAUUUCUUAAAUCUACGGCUGACCUUUGACCAUAUGUGCUUAAAUCCAAGGGUUCGUUUCAUGCUGUUCCUUGGAUAUUCAUCAGAAGCAGACAGGGGCACACAAUCCCUGAAAGAACUCAGAAACUCACUCCUUGAAACACCUGAAGAUGUGCCAGCAAAAUCUUUGGAUUGAGAGCUACCAAAACCCUUAAAGCGAGGAGAUGGGUUCAUGGUGUAUGAAUCCUCCCUUGAGCAAAACACAGGGUUUUCCCCUUUGUAUAAUUCCAUUACUGGUAUCUUAUCUGGAGAUAUAGGCUCCCUAUACCUAAGUUUCUCAUUCUCAAACUGGCUGAUAUCCAUGUGGCGGUAGAUGCUCACUAGUUUUCCCAUAACUUGGGGGAGGAAUGAAAUCUGGAGGUGCUCGACGCAACCCUCUUAUAAUUCCAUCUUCCAUGGGCAUCGAGUUUUGC